UAGGGAAUCUUCCGCAAUGGGCGAAAGCCUGACGGAGCAACGCCGCGUGAGUGAUGAAGGUCUUCGGAUCGUAAAACUCUGUUAUUAGGGAAGAACAAAUGUGUAAGUAACUAUGCACGUCUUGACGGUACCUAAUCAGAAAGCCACGGCUAACUACGUGCCAGCAGCCGUGGUAAUACGUAGGUGGCAAGCGUUAUCCGGAAUUAUUGGGCGUAAAGCGCGCGUAGGCGGUUUUUUAAGUCUGAUGUGAAAGCCCACGGCUCAACCGUGGAGGGUCAUUGGAAACUGGAAAACUUGAGUGCAGAAGAGGAAAGUGGAAUUCCAUGUGUAGCGGUGAAAUGCGCAGAGAUAUGGAGGAACACCAGUGGCGAAGGCGACUUUCUGGUCUGUAACUGACGCUGAUGUGCGAAAGCGUGGGGAUCAAACAGG
rnacentral:rRNA from 1 species